CCUACGGGAGACAGCAGUAGGGAAUUUUCGUCAAUGGGGGAAACCCUGAACGGGCAAUGCCGCGUGAGUGAAGAAGGCCUUCGGGUCGUAAAGCUCUGUUGUAAGAGAAAAACGGUAAUGAUAGGAAAUGAUCAUUAAGUGAUUGUAUCUUACGAGGAAGCCACGGCUAACUACGUGCGAUCCGCCGCGGUAAUACGUAGGUGGCAAGCGUUAUCCGGAAUGAUUGGGCGUAAGGGGUGCGCAGGCGGAAGCAUAAGUCUGAAGUAAAAGGCAUCGGCUAAACCGAUGUAAGCUUUGGAAACUGUGGAUCUGGAGUGCAGGAGAGGACAGUGGAAUUCCAUGUGUAGCGGUAAAAUGCGUAGAUAUAUGGAGGAACACCAGUGGCGAAGGCAGCUGUCUGACCUGUAACUGACGCUGAGGCACGAAAGCGUGGGGAGCAAAUAGGAUUAGAUACCCCAGUAGUC
rnacentral:rRNA from 1 species